CGAUUGUAAGUGCCAAAGGUAACUUAAUUUUAAUUAUUUUAAUGUGUUAUUUACUGGGUCUCAGCAUCCAUGCCCACUGUGGAACAUUUUAGGGCCAUGUUAUGUUACGACCAUGGGGCAGUUAGGCAAGGCACCAGGAACAACAGUUCCCAUACUCCUGCACCCAAAUGCCAGUUAUCAUCAUUUCUUACUUUGGUCAGUUAGAUCUAUUAAUAGAGGCCUGGUGGGCUCAGCAAAUGCUGCCCAGAGUGGCCCAGCUCAAAGCACAAGCUUGCCAGCAGGCAGCAGCACAGCUCAAAACGCAGCAGAACCUGUUGGCAAGCCACAGCCAGAGAAGAAAAGUCCUGGUGGCGGCGGUCACCACCCAGACUCUCUGCUUGUUGUGCCAUUUGUCUUGCAAUUUCCCCCAGGGAGGUGGCAUCAGCUCCCCCCAUCAAAAAUUGGGUUUGGAUAUCCACUCUGGCACACACAAAAAUGAUGUGUUCUAGAACCCCACAGGGUCAGCAUUCGUGGGUCUCCGUGGUCCUAGCGGUGCCCACGUUAUCUGCCCUUGCAGCGGAAAAACUCGGAUGAAUGCGAGGUGUGCUGUCAAGGGGGACAACUUCUCUGCUGCGGUACUUGUCCACGAGUCUUCCAUGAGGACUGUCACAUCCCCCCUGUGGAAGCCAAGAGGAUGCUGUGGAGUUGCACCUUCUGCAGGAUGAAGAGGUUUUCAGGAAGACAACAGUGCCGUCAUGUAUCUAAGACCCUGGAGAGGCAGAUGCAGCCUCAGGACCAGCUGGCUUCUGACUUUGGCCAGGUAGGACUUGACUUAGAGGCAGAAUUUGAAAAAGAUCUCAAAGACGUGCUCGGUUUUCAUGAAGCCAAUGACGGCGGUUUCUGGACUCUUCCUUGACCCUGUUCUGUAAAGACUGAAGCAUCCCCACCUCAGGAUUCAGCUGAUGGGACCCUGGCUUGGACUGUUGAUUGCCAGUGAGUCUGGGAUGUAAUUGGCUGCCCUCAGGACCCAACUCCAGACACUUCAUAGGAUUAUCACACCCUCCAUCUUUAUUCUUUCUUUUUACCUUUAAAAGUCUAUAUCUACACUAAAAAAAAAAAAAAUAAUACUUCCUUAAUACCAUCAGAUACCCCAUCAUAGUUCACAUUCUCCCCACUGUCUCAUAAGUCUUUUUAGAGUUGAUUUGUUCAAAUCAGGAUCUAAACAAGUUCCACACACUGCAUUUGGCUCACCUGUCCCUAUGUCUCUUUUAAGCUAUAAAUUGUCAUGUAUUUAUUGAAGAACUCAGGGUUUUGGUCCUAUUACAUUUUUUGCAAUCUGGAAUUUUCUGGUUGCAUUUUCUUAGUGGUAUAGUCCUCUCUUCCUCUUAUUUUUUGUAAGCUAGAAGUUAGAUCUAGAAGCUUGCUUUAACUCAGGUUUUGAGGGGUUUGUUUUGAUUUGGGGGUUUGGGGGCACAUGCAGGCUUCACGGGGAAUUUAGUAUUAUUUUUUAUGUUAAGGUUGGCAGCAGGUGCACGUGUUAUCAGCCUGAUCAUCUAUCACCUGAUGGUUUUAGCAAUACCUAAAUCCGUGAUAUCAUCAGGGGUUGCAAAAUGAUGAGAUUCAGGUUUAUUUUUACAUAAUUAUUGGUCAGAAUUAUUCUGCAAAUAGCUUCUCUUUAACAGUAUUCGGUUACCUUGAAAUACAGGUUGUACAAAAAAUAGGAUAAAUGUUUGUUUUUUUAUUUAGCAAUGUUCAAAAUAAUGAAUUGAUUUCCCAAUAUCCUCUAAAGGUAACCAGGGAUUUUUUUUAUUUAAUUAUCUUGAACCCACAUAUUUAAAUAUACGUAGUAUGCUACAAACCAUUGCAGUUAAUACCUUUAUUGAUGCUUGAGUUGCCCACUUUUUCUUUUUUUUUUUUUUUUGAGACAGAGUCUCACUCUGUCACCCAGGCUGGACUGCAGUAGUGUCAUCUUGGCUCACUGCAACCUCCUCCUCCUGGGUGCAAGCGAUUCUCCUGCCUCAGCCUCCAAGUAGCUGGGAUUACAGGCAUGUGCAAGUUCCCCACUUUUAGUGAGAAACUCCUCAAUUUGCCUCCUGAGUUGUUUUGAAAUGACCCCAGAACUCUUUGAUGGUGUAUUAGCUAUCUAUUGCUGUGUAACAAAUGACCUCAAAGCUUAGCUGCUUAAAAAGAAAAAAACAUUUUAUUGCUCACUAUUCUGUGGGUCAAGAAUUCAGGCAUCAUCCAUGAGGAUGCUUCCCUUUGCUCCACAUGGUACUGGCAGACCCCAUUCAUACUUGCACACUGUCACUUCUGCCACAAUCUAUUGGUGAAAGCAAGUCACAGGGACAGAUUCAGAAGGAGGGAGAAUAGACCCUACCUCUUGAUGUGAUGGGUGGCAAAGUCACAUUUCAAAGGAGAAUGUUGCUUGGGAAGAAACAUUGCUGCUCCCAUCUUUAGAAGCGAUCUACCAUAGUUCACCCUCUGGCCACAGUAGUUCACAUCUUUCCCAAAUGCGAAGGACACUCCUCUCCCCACAGAAGUCUCACUCUCUGCAGCAUUGGAACAAAGUCCAGGACCUCCUUAUCUAAAUCAGGUUCAGAUCAGAUAAAGCUUCUUCGGGCUGGGCACAGUGGCUCACACCUGAAAUCCCAGCACUUUAGGAGGCCGAGGCAGGUGGAUCGCUUGAGUCCAGGAGUUCAAGACCAGCCUGGGUAACAUGGCAAAACCUCAUCUCUAC
rnacentral:sRNA from 1 species